AUUUUUUCUCUCUCAAGCAUCCUGUUUCUGUAGUGGAAAAACAACUACCUUCGUCUGAGAGAACUGGACCAGGUUGCUUGGGAGACGCUGCAGGAGGAAUUUGCUCGCUUCAUGGCCGAGUACAAAGGCAAAGACCAGGAUGACAUUUUUGACAAGCUGAAGGAGGCCGUGAAAGACGAGAGCAUCAAAAGGCACAAGUGGAACGAGAGGGCCAUGGACAGCCUGAGAGUAAUCCAACACAAUGCCUUAGAAGACCGUUCCAUCACAGACAAGCCUCAGUGGGAUGCAGCAAUUCAGUGGAAAUUCAUGGAACAAACCUUGCAGUGACGACUCAACGACGAUAUGUGCUGUGCUUUGUGUUGGAAGCUUUUUUUUUUUUUUUUUCAUUGGAACUCUUAACUACGAGGUAUACACCAAAACCAAAAUUCUUGU